rnacentral:rRNA from 1 species
GACGAACGCUGGCGGCGUGCUUAACACAUGCAAGUCGAACGGAAAGGCCCUGCUUUUGUUGGGUGCUCGAGUGGCGAACGGGUGAGUAACACGUGAGUAACCUGCCCUUGACUUUGGGAUAACUUCAGGAAACUGGGGCUAAUACCGGAUAGGAGCUCCUGCUGCAUGGUGUGGGUUGGAAAGUUUCGGCGGUUGGGGAUGGACUCGCGGCUUAUCAGCUUGUUGGUGGGGUAGUGGCUUACCAAGGCUUUGACGGGUAGCCGGCCUGAGAGGGUGACCGGCCACAUUGGGACUGAGAUACGGACCAGACUCCUACGGGAGGCAGCAGUGGGGAAUAUUGCACAAUGGGCGGAAGCCUGAUGCAGCAACGCCGCGUGCGGGAUGACGGCCUUCGGGUUGUAAACCGCUUUCGCCUGUGACGAAGCGUGAGUGACGGUAAUGGGUAAAGAAGCACCGGCUAACUACGUG